UGAGAGUUUGAUCCUGGCUCAGAUUGAACGCUGGCGGCAGGCUUAACACAUGCAAGUCGAGCGGAGAUGAGGUGCUUGCACCUUAUCUUAGCGGCGGACGGGUGAGUAAUGCUUAGGAAUCUGCCUAUUAGUGGGGGACAACAUUCCGAAAGGAAUGCUAAUACCGCAUACGUCCUACGGGAGAAAGCAGGGGAUCUUCGGACCUUGCGCUAAAUGAUGAGCCUAAGUCGGAUUAGCUAGUUGGUGGGGUAAAGGCCUACCAAGGCGACGAUCUGUAGCGGGUCUGAGAGGAUGAUCCGCCACACUGGGACUGAGACACGGCCCAGACUCCUACGGGAGGCAGCAGUGGGGAAUAUUGGACAAUGGGCGGAAGCCUGAUCCAGCCAUGCCGCGUGUGUGAAGAAGGCCUUUUGGUUGUAAAGCACUUUAAGCGAGGAGGAGGCUACUAGUAUUAAUACUACUGGAUAGUGGACGUUACUCGCAGAAUAAGCACCGGCUAACUCUGUGCCAGCAGCCGCGGUAAUACAGAGGGUGCGAGCGUUAAUCGGAUUUACUGGGCGUAAAGCGUGCGUAGGCGGCUGAUUAAGUCGGAUGUGAAAUCCCCGAGCUUAACUUAGGAAUUGCAUUCGAUACUGGUCAGCUAGAGUAUGGGAGAGGAUGGUAGAAUUCCAGGUGUAGCGGUGAAAUGCGUAGAGAUCUGGAGGAAUACCGAUGGCGAAGGCAGCCAUCUGGCCUAAUACUGACGCUGAGGUACGAAAGCAUGGGGAGCAAACAGGAUUAGAUACCCUGGUAGUCCAUGCCGUAAACGAUGUCUAC
rnacentral:rRNA from 1 species